GAUGAACGCUGGCGGCGUGCUUAACACAUGCAAGUCGAACGAAGCAAUUAAGACAGAAGCCUUCGGGUGGAAGACUUAAUUGACUGAGUGGCGGACGGGUGAGUAACGCGUGGGUAACCUGCCUCACACAGGGGGAUAACAGUUAGAAAUGACUGCUAAUACCGCAUAAGCGCACAGUACCGCAUGGUACAGUGUGAAAAACUCCGGUGGUGUGAGAUGGACCCGCGUCUGAUUAGCUAGUUGGUGAGGUAACGGCUCACCAAGGCGACGAUCAGUAGCCGACCUGAGAGGGUGACCGGCCAACAUUGGGACUGAGACACGGCCCAAACUCCUACGGGAGGCAGCAGUGGGGAAUAUGCACAAUGGGGGAAACCCUGAUGCAGCGACGCCGCGUGAGUGAAGAAGUAUUUCGGUAUGUAAAGCUCUAUCAGCAGGGAAGAAAAUGACGGUA
rnacentral:rRNA from 1 species